CGUGAGUGAUGAAGGCCUUCGGGUUGUAAAGCUCGUGUGGGGGCGAGACGAAUAAGUGCAGCCUAAUACGUUGCAUGAUGACGGUAUCGCCUUAGCAAGCACCGGCUAACUCUGUGCCAGCAGCCGCGGUAAGACAGAGGGUGCAAACGUUGUUCGGAAUUACUGGGCGUAAAGCGAGUGUAGGCGGUCUGUAAAGUCAGGUGUGAAAGCCCCGGGCUCAACCCGGGAAGUGCACUUGAAACUCACAGGCUAGAGUAUCGGAGAGGUUGGUGGAAUUCUCGGUGUAGAGGUGAAAUUCGUAGAUAUCGAGAGGAACACCGGUGGCGAAGGCGGCCAACUGGACGAAUACUGACGCUGAGACUCGAAAGCGUGGGGAGCAAACAGGAUUAGAUACCCUGGUAGUCCACGCCGUAAACGAUGGGUGCUAGGUGUCGCGGGCUUUGACUCCCGCGGUGCCGUAGCUAACGCAUUAAGCACCCCGCCUGGGAAGUACGGCCGCAAGGCUA
rnacentral:rRNA from 1 species